rnacentral:rRNA from 1 species
UGCAGUCGAACGAGAUCUCUGGAUAGCUUGCUAACUGGAGUGAAAGUGGCGGACGGGUGCGUAACACGUGAGCAACCUGCCCUAAAGUGGGGGAUAGCCUUCCGAAAGGAAGAUUAAUACCGCAUGUGGUCUUCGGACUAAAGGUGGCUUCGGCUAUCGCUUUAGGAUGGGCUCGCGGCCUAUCAGCUUGAUGGUGAGGUAACGGCUCACCAUGGCGACGACGGGUAGCUGGUCUGAGAGGACGAUCAGCCUCACUGGAACUGAGACACGGUCCAGACACCUACGGGUGGCAGCAGUCGAGAAUCAUUCACAAUGGACGAAAGUCUGAUGGUGCAACGCCGCGUGGAGGAUGACGGCCUUCGGGUUGUAAACUCCUGUCAUCCGGGAGUAAGCUAUGUUCGUUAAUAGCGUGCAUAGUUGAUAGUACCAGAAGAGGAAGGGACGGCUAACUUCGUGCCAGCAGCCGCGGUAAUACGAAGGUCCCAAGCGUUGUUCGGAAUCACUGGGCGUAAAGCGUGCGUAGGCGGCGCGGUAAGUCAGAUGUGAAAUCUCUGGGCUCAACCCGGAAACUGCAUCCGAUACUGCCGUGCUAGAGUAAUGGAGGGGUAGCUGGAAUUCUCGGUGUAGCAGUGAAAUGCGUAGAUAUCGAGAGGAACACUCGUGGCGAAGGCGAGCUACUGGACAUUUACUGACGCUGAGGCACGAAGGCCAGGGUAGCGAAAGGGAUUAGAUACCCCUGUAGUCCUGGCAGUAAACGGUGUGCGCUUGGUGUGGGAGGAUUCGACCCCUUCCGUGCCGGAGCUAACGCGUUAAGCGCACCGCCUGGGAAGUACGGCCGCAAGGCUAAAACUCAAAGAAAUUGACGGGGACCCGCACAAGCGGUGGAGUAUGUGGCUUAUUUCGAUGCAACGCGAAGAACCUUACCCA